rnacentral:rRNA from 1 species
UUGAUCCUGGCUCAGAAUCAACGCUGGCGGCGUGCCUAACACAUGCGAGUCGAACGCAGUUACCUCGCAAGGGGUAACUGAGUGGCGAACGGGUGAGUAUCACGUGGGUGACCUACCUUCGAGUGGGGGAUAACGUCCCGAAAGGGACGUUAAUACCGCAUGAUAUCCCGCCUUUGAACAGGUGGAGAUCAAAGCUGGGUAUCGCAAGACCCGGCGCUUGAUGAGGGGCCCGCGUCCGAUUAGCUAGUUUGUGAGGUAACGGCUCACCAAGGCAACGAUCGGUAUCCGGCCUGAGAGGGUGGACGGACACACUGGGACUGAGACACGGCCCAGACUCCUACGGGAGGCAUCAGUGGGGAAUUGUUCACAAUGGGCGCAAGCCUGAUGACGCAACGCCGCUUGGAGGAUGAAGGUCUUCGGAUUGUAAACUCCUGUUGCCAGGGACGAACUGCUCCGACCUAAUACGUCGGAGUCUGACGGUACCUGGUGAGGAAGCCCCUGCUAACUCUGUGCCAGCAGCCGCGGUAAUAAGGU